rnacentral:rRNA from 1 species
UGAGGAAUAUUGGUCAAUGGACGAGAGUCUGAACCAGCCAUGCCGCGUGAAGGAUGAAGGCGUUCUGCGUCGUAAACUUCUUUUGCGGGGGAAGAAACCUUGAUAUUCUUAUCAAGCCGACGGUACCCCGAGAAUAAGCACCGGCUAACUCCGUGCCAGCAGCCGCGGUAAUACGGAGGGUGCAAGCGUUAUCCGGAUUUAUUGGGUUUAAAGGGUCCGUAGGCGGGCCGAUAAGUCAGUGGUGAAAUCUCAUAGCUUAACUAUGAAACUGCCAUUGAUACUGUCGGUCUUGAGUAAAUUAGAGGUAGCUGGAAUAAGUAGUGUAGCGGUGAAAUGCAUAGAUAUGACCCGGAACACCGAUUGCGAAGGCAGCCCACUAAGCAAUGAUUGACGCUGAGGCACGAAAGCGUGGGGAUCAAACA